AGGCGGCUUAUUAAGUCGGAUGUGAAAUCCCCGAGCUUAACUUGGGAAUUGCAUUCGAUACUGGUUAGCUAGAGUAUGGGAGAGGAUGGUAGAAUUCCAGGUGUAGCGGUGAAAUGCGUAGAGAUCUGGAGGAAUACCGAUGGCGAAGGCAGCCAUCUGGCCUAAUACUGACGCUGAGGUACGAAAGCAUGGGGAGCAAACAGGAUUAGAUACCCUGGUAGUCCAUGC
rnacentral:rRNA from 1 species